UAGCGAAAGCGAAUCCUAAUGAGGGUGUUGUCAGUGGCAUGUUCUGGACCCGAAGCGGGGUGAUCUACCCAUGGCCAGUGUGAAGCAGCUGUAAGAGGUUGUGGAGGCGCGAACCCACUUAGGUUGAAAACUGAGGGGAUGAGCUGUGGGUAGGGGUGAAAGGCCAAUCAAACUCCGUGAUAGCUGGUUCUCCCCGAAAUGCAUUUAGGUGCAGCGUUGUGUGUUUCUUGCUGGAGGUAGAGCUACUGGUUGGUUGAGCGGGACUACAAUCUUAGCAAUGUCAGCCAAACUCCGAAUGCCGGUAAUGUUAAGCAUGGCAGUGAGACUGCGGGGGAUAAGCUCCGUUGGUCGAGAGGGAAACAGCCCAGAUCGCCGGUUAAGGCCCCUAAGGGUGUACUAAGUGGAAAAGGAUGUGGGAUCGCGAAGACAGCCAGGAGGUUGGCUUAGAAGCAGCCAUCCUUGAAAGAGUGCGUAAUAGCUCACUGGUCGAGUGGUUCUGCGCCGACAAUGUAGUGGGGCUCAAGUACACCGCCGAAGCCGCGGCAGUCAGCAAUUUUUUUGUUGGUUGGGUAGGGGAGCGUCGUGCACUGCUGUGAAGCACCUGGGUGACUUGAUGGUGUGGAGUGUGUGCGAGUGAGAAUGCAGGCAUGAGUAACGAAUGAAAAGUGGAAAACUUUUCCGCCGGAUGACUAAGGGUUCCUGGGUUAAGCUAAUCUUCCCAGGGUGAGUCGGGACCUAAGGCGAGGCCGACAGGCGUAGUCGAUGGAUAACCAGUUGAUAUUCUGGUACCCGUGUAUGUGCGCCCAGUGGUGAAUCAGUGGUACUAACCAUCCAUGGAUCUUCUGGUCAUGCUUUUGUGUGGUUGGUGGUGAUGUGCGUGGGAUCUUCGUUGGUAGUAGCCAAGUGAUG
rnacentral:rRNA from 1 species